rnacentral:lncRNA from 1 species
CCCCCCCUUUGAUUUUCAACAAUAGUGCGGAGAAACUGUUGAAUUUAUAAAUCGACGGUGAAACUACCAAACCACGUAUCUCGGUUUGCGACGUUGCAGACUUCCUGUCAUACUUUAUUUUUUAAAUGAAAAACUACUUAACGUCUAGUCUUGAAAAUUUCUGUGAUUUUUCCUCUUCGUGCGGAGAAAAUCCUGUGAAAAUUUCAAGGAAUGAUAUUGAUUUGGUCUACUUAAAAAAAAUAAAAUGCGAGCGUAGAUUUUUAAACACCGCAAACGAGAUACGUGGUUUGGUAGUUUCACCGUCGAAAUGGAUAAAAUUUGAAGCAUUUGUAAUGAAAGUGUGACACAUAACGUCGCAGAAAUGAGGAUGAUACGUUGAAGGCAGUGUUCGAAACUCACGAUUUUUAAUACCACAAGCAUUUAUCCUUAUUUUAUUAAUGUUUUACAGGUUUUCCAGCCGGUCGGCCGGUGACCCGGCAAGAAAUCAAGGAGCGGAUCAAGGUGCUGUAUCCAAAAGCCGGCCAAGACGUGAUCGUGCUGAGAUGGCUACGGAAGAGGACGGUGGAACUUGAAGUACCUUGUACACUGUGAGACGUAACUUCGUGACGUGAAAUUCAUCGACAGAUCAAGAGAGAGGAAAAAAAGAAGAGAAUGACAGAAGAAAGACUAACGAAUGAUUGAAUAGAGUUGAAUUGCCAUUACCUGUUCAGAAUCCGCUGUGUGUUUGACGAGCGAGGAUGGAUGCAGACUCAGACGUGAUAGUGGGACAAUUGAGAGCACUCUCUCAAAUCGACAACCGAUGGCACAGGCAACCUUGCUAUUGCGUUGCGCAAUUGAGAAGGAUAUCGAUUCACUUUCUCAGAGCAGCGAUGAGUAAAUGUAUAAAGGUAGGUCUGCUAUUACACUACGUCCGGCAACAAUGGUUUCUUUCGUGGCUAAAAUCUUCCCACUUACCCUGUGAAGCCUUGAAAUUCCUAAGCGCAAAGAAGUCGUAUUGAAGAAGGGUUCGUGCUGUGUUACUUUCCGAAUACAAUAGUAUUCACUUGUCCAACAUAGUAAUAAAUUUCUCUUUUUAGAGGCAUUUGCAUUGCCAAGGUCAUGGUCAAGGUUUUCUAGUUUGAGUGUUCAAUAUUCUGAAUGUUAAUUUUCGGCAGUAUAUCCUGUGCAAUACGUGUGGUUAGAGUACCUGUAUAGGGAGAGUAUGGACACGUCGAAAAUUUUGAGGUUAGGUGAUGGAGCUCUUAGACCCCAAAAGGGUAAGGCAAUCUAUAAAUUCAAAUUAUCCAGAGUGAUUUAUAAUCACAAUUGUUGGGAACUGUCGUUGGUGAAGCACGUAUUUGACUUGGUUUUCGCAUAAACUUACUCAUUUUUGCGGAAGAAUGCUUACUUAUAAAU